AUGUGAAUUUCAAAAAGUGUCAGAAGUUUGUGUCGGUUUAAAGCGACGCUAGUUUCAUUAAAGCGACGCGAGUUUCAUUAAAGCGACGCUAUGUGAAUUUCAAAAAAAGUGUCAGACGUUUGCGUCGGUUUUAACGGACGCAAACUAAGUACCCAUAUUUAAACCCCUCUCUUUCCCAUUUCAACCGUGCUUUCAUUUCUCCCCCAAUUUCAGACUUUCUUCUUCUCCUUCCCCAUUUCAUCUGUGCGUCCCCUUCUUCCUCCUUUUCAUUUUUUCCUCAACUCCUUCCCCGUUUGCUUUGGAUCACCAGUUUGAAGAUCAACAUUCUGAAGAACUCCAAUUCGAGGAGGAAGAGCUUGAAGAGCAAGGACACUGGAAAUCGCAGAUCCAUAAUUUUUUAAAGGUAUAAAACCUGAGUUUAAUCUAUAGAGAUUAGAGCCUUAAUGUUGAAGUAGUAAAGUAUUGGAGCACUGAUCUGAUGGCAAGCAUGGCAGCAUGGAGUUGCUAGUAUUACAUAUGGCACUAUGGAGCUACAAAAUAUGUGGUCUUCGACAAAGGCAAGCACAGGAAAGCAUGGAGGAUGAAUUUUUGUAAAUUAUAUGGAAUGUUAGAUGUAAAACAUUUGUAUAUUAUGGCACUAUUUUUCUUUUGAA